GGUUAAGUGAAUAAGGGCGCACGGUGGAUGCCUUGGCACUAGGAGCCGAUGAAGGACGGGACUAACACCGAUAUGCUUUGGGGAGCUGUAAGUAAGCUAUGAUCCAGAGAUUUCCGAAUGGGGGAACCCAAUAUCUUUUAUAGGAUAUUACUUUUCAGUGAAUACAUAGCUGAUUAGAGGUAGACGCAGAGAACUGAAACAUCUUAGUACCUGCAGGAAGAGAAAGAAAAUUCGAUUCCCUGAGUAGCGGCGAGCGAAACGGGAAGAGCCCAAACCAACAAGCUUGCUUGUUGGGGUUGUAGGACUCCAAUAUGGUAGUCUGUUAGUAUAGUUGAAGGAUUUGGAAAAUUCCGCUAAAGAGGGUGAAAGCCCCGUAGACGAAAUGCUAACAACACCUAGGAGGAUCCUGAGUACGGCGGAACACGAGAAAUUCCGUCGGAAUCCGCGGGGACCAUCCCGCAAGGCUAAAUACUCCCUAGUGACCGAUAGUGAACCAGUACCGUGAGGGAAAGGUGAAAAGCACCCCGGAAGGGGAGUGAAAUAGAUCCUGAAACCGUGUGCCUACAACAAGUCAAAGCUCGUUAAUGAGUGAUGGCGUGCCUUUUGUAGAAUGAACCGGCGAGUUACGAUUGCAUGCGAGGUUAAGUCGAAGAGACGGAGCCGCAGCGAAAGCGAGUCUGAAUAGGGCGAAUGAGUAUGUAGUCGUAGACCCGAAACCAUGUGAUCUACCCAUGUCCAGGUUGAAGGUGCGGUAAAACGCACUGGAGGACCGAACCCACGUACGUUGAAAAGUGCGGGGAUGAGGUGUGGGUAGCGGAGAAAUUCCAAACGAACUUGGAGAUAGCUGGUUCUCUCCGAAAUAGCUUUAGGGCUAGCCUCGGAAUUGAGAAUGAUGGAGGUAGAGCACUGUUUGGACUAGGGGCCCAUCUCGGGUUACCGAAUUCAGAUAAACUCCGAAUGCCAUUCAUUUAUAUCCGGGAGUCAGACUGCGAGUGAUAAGAUCCGUAGUCGAAAGGGAAACAGCCCAGACCACCAGCUAAGGUCCCAAAAUAUAUGUUAAGUGGAAAAGGAUGUGGGGUUGCACAGACAACUAGGAUGUUGGCUUAGAAGCAGCCACCAUUUAAAGAGUGCGUAAUAGCUCACUAGUCGAGUGACCCUGCGCCGAAAAUGUACCGGGGCUAAACAUAUUACCGAAGCUGUGGACUACACCAUUAGGUGUAGUGGUAGGAGAGCGUUCUAAGGGCGUUGAAGGUCGAUCGUGAGGACGGCUGGAGCGCUUAGAAGUGAGAAUGCCGGUAUGAGUAGCGAAAGACAGGUGAGAAUCCUGUCCACCGUAUGACUAAGGUUUCCUGGGGAAGGCUCGUCCGCCCA
rnacentral:rRNA from 1 species